GAUGAACGCUGGCGGCGUGCCUAAUACAUGCAAGUCGAGCGAACAGACGAGGAGCUUGCUCCUCUGACGUUAGCGGCGGACGGGUGAGUAACACGUGGAUAACCUACCUAUAAGACUGGGAUAACUUCGGGAAACCGGAGCUAAUACCGGAUAAUAUAUUGAACCGCAUGGUUCAAUAGUGAAAGACGGUUUUGCUGUCACUUAUAGAUGGAUCCGCGCCGCAUUAGCUAGUUGGUAAGGUAACGGCUUACCAAGGCAACGAUGCGUAGCCGACCUGAGAGGGUGAUCGGCCACACUGGAACUGAGACACGGUCCAGACUCCUACGGGAGGCAGCAGUAGGGAAUCUUCCGCAAUGGGCGAAAGCUUGACGGAGCAACGCCGCGUGAGUGAUGAAGGUCUUCGGAUCGUAAAACUCUGUUAUUAGGGAAGAACACAUGUGUAAGUAACUAUGCACGUCUUGACGGUACCUAAUCAGAAAGCCACGGCUAACUACGUG
rnacentral:rRNA from 1 species